rnacentral:tRNA from 1 species
AUCAAGUUAGUUUAUUUAAAAUACUAUAUUGUGGCUUUAGAGAAAAAAAGAAUAUUUUACUUGAUC